rnacentral:rRNA from 1 species
AGUUCGGAUUGGAGUCUGCAACCCGACUCCAUGAAGCUGGAUUCGCUAGUAAUCGCGCAUCAGCCACGGCGCGGUGAAUACGUUCCCGGGCCUUGUACACACCGCCCGUCAAGCCAUGGGAGCCGGGAGUGCCUGAAGUGCGCGGCCGCGAGGAGCGCCCUAGGGCAAGACUGGUGACUGGGGCUAAGUCGUAACAAGGUAUC